GAAUCCCUACGGGGCGCAGCAGUGGGGAAUAUUGCACAAUGGGGGAAACCCUGAUGCAGCGACGCCGCGUGAGCGAAGAAGUAUUUCGGUAUGUAAAGCUCUAUCAGCAGGGAAGAAAAUGACGGUACCUGAGUAAGAAGCUCCGGCUAAAUACGUGCCAGCAGCCGCGGUAAUACGUAUGGAGCAAGCGUUAUUCGGAUUUACUGGGUGUAAAGGGAGCGCAGGCGGUCUGGCAAGUCUGAUGUGAAAUACCGGGGCUCAACGCCGGGACUGCCUUG
rnacentral:rRNA from 1 species